AUUGAACGCUGGCGGCAGGCCUAACACAUGCAAGUCGAGCGAGCGGCGGACGGGUGAGUCAUGUCUGGGAAACUGCCCGAUGGAGGGGGAUGACUACUGGAAACGGUAGCUACUACCGCAUACCAUCAGAUGUGCCCAGAUGGGAUUAUCUAGUAGGUUGGGUAAUGGCUUACCUAGGCGACGAUCCCUAGCUGGUCUGAGAGGAUGACCAGCCACACUGGAACUGAGACACGGUCCAGACUCCUACGGGAGGCAGCAGUGGGGAAUAUUGCACAAUGGGCGCAAGCCUGAUGCAGCCAGGCCGCGUGUGUGAAGAAGGCCUUCGGGUUGUAAAGCACUUUCAGCGGGGAGGCGUUACCGACAGAAGAAGCACCGGCUAACUCCGUGCCAGCAGCCGCGGUAAUUC
rnacentral:rRNA from 1 species